AUUCGAGCGGGACUCCGUGAGCAAUGAGAGUGGCCACGUCAGCAAAAAUUCUACCGUCCCUCUAAUUUCUAACCGAGGGUGAAGAUCGGUUCUCACCCUGGCAAUUCUAGCCUAUGCGCGGCGGCAGCCUCCUCCCUCCCCGUCCCGAUGGAGCCCAUGGAAGGGCGGCGGAAGGCAUCGUGCGGCGGAGGGCAUGGCGCGGCGGCGGCCCGCCGGCUGCUCCGUCGGCGGCAUGCGAGCGCCGAGCGGCCGCCGUGCAUGACCAGCGGCGCGGCGCGGAGCAGGCCCGAAGGAGCAAGGGCACGCGCGCGACGGAGCAAGGAGCAGACGGAUCCUGGCCGCCGCCACCAGCCAGAUCUGCGCCGCCCCAAUGCUCUGCACGUGGAUCCGCUCGAGGCGAGCCCCUGGCGCGUGCCGGAUAAGGGGUACGGCGGUCCUGCGCCGCCGGCCGGCUGCCAGGGCUUGCGGCCCUUGGCCUUACCCAUCCCGUCACAGUUCUUCGCAGCCAUGUGCCUCUACUUCAUUCUGUCCUUUGAUAUUUGAUUAGCUUUGAUGUUUCAACGCAAAUGCGAAGGGGGUACUUCUUUUAUUCUUACCUAAACAGUGUUUCAAAAACAUACCACCAUUAGCCGUAUUGAUGCAGCACCAGAAGACGAAAUUUGUUAGGUGACCAGAUCAGUUGAAGCUUCCCUUUCCAUCCAGCAGCAAUCUCACGAUUACACACUGAAUUAUUGUUAUUCUAAGCUCAAUAUACUGUUUUCUGUAAAUUUCAUGGGCAUAAUCAGAAUGCAUUUCAUCAGACAAUUUGAACUACUAGCCAAACCUGAAGCAAACAAACUAAUUCAUGUACUACUCCGAGAACUACUUCAGUAUUAUGCCAUCUAAGUUACUUUAUAUUGCCACCUUUCUGAUAUGUAGUGCAAAUUUAAUUUAUAGGCACUGCUAUUUCCUUCGCCUUGCUAUUUUCAAAACAGCAAAGAGCCUAUGGAGCCAUACCAUGUAUUCAGGGCUUUUCUUAUAGCAACAUGCGCUUCAACGAUGUGGAGAAGGUUAUGUUUUAUCGUCAUCAAAAACAAAAAACUUUGUAUCACUCAAGGCACACUUAUAUAGACGAUUGUCUUCAUUGUCUGCUUACCUGAGUCAAAGGCAAACAUGAAAGUCACUUUCAUGAGAACUAUGAAGUUACAAUUUCUUCCUCCUUUCCUAUUGACGGUUGCACAAAUGAUUGAUAUUGGUAGUCUUGCAAUCAAGUACUUACUCAUUCGGGUGUGCCUAAUGAUCCAAAAUUUCCUCUCCCAACUCUGAGUUGCAAAAUCAUUCACAAGGAUGAGGAAAAUGGUUGUCCUUGAAGAUGUUGGGGAUGUCCGCCACCGGCCGUUUGCUGUUGGAUUCAGUUGUUCCUAUCAAUGUUAAUACUCUUUGAUGCAAAUUAUUUGUAUCGUGUUAUCUCCUGGAAGAUCACUACACCAGUGAGAAACUUGAUGUUAAUGUUUGCAUGUGCCGAACAAUUAAUGUUCUUAGGACUCCAGUAUUAUUUUAGCUUAAGGACAUCCUAUUUCACCGUGUUGUAAACUAUGCUAAGGAACUACCACUUAGCUAAAUAUUUGACGCUAAUGUCGCUCUUCUUUGCAACCGAAUUUCAUAA